GUUGUGAUCUACCUGGCUGGCCCUCUUCAUAAGCUCAUUUCCUCAAACACCAAUCCACAUACUACUGCUGCUGCUGGGCUAGUGAAUGAGGGAAACCCUUCGUACUAAACAUCGAUGGAGAAAACACCCGACUGAGUUCCUGCUGACUUCAGCUGACAGUCCUGGUUGAUCCUCUAUUAAUACAUCCAUGGGCUGAGCCAGUUGGUUUGGAUUUCCGUGUGUUAUGUGAUAACGUUACAGCAAUUAUCGUGUGAUCUCGUAGAUAUCGCGAAAACCCAGCUGCCGUGCAAAGUAAGUAGCUAGUUAACGUUAAUGAAACACAGCUGUAACAACAUCCGCAACUCAUAACCAUGGGCACGGCACUUCACAGCGUAAUGCGAUGCUGGUGAAGCCGCUGCUGUUUCCUUGGAUACGAGCACUGGCUUGUUAGCAUGCUAGCUAACUUCCAUUACCUUCUGACAGGCUGUUAGCUUAGUUAGCUUAGUUAGCUAGCAAGUGUUAAAGCAGAGACAGUUCGAGAAGGUUAAACCCAGCUAGGUUAACGACAGGCUCCGGCAACUAUUUAGCUAGGAAGUUACAUGCUCGUUAUUGUGUAGGAAGUUACAUGCUCGUUAUUGUGUAGGAAGUUACAUGCUCGUUAUUGUGUAGGAAGUUACAUGCUCGUUAUUGUGUAGGAAGUUACAUGCUUGUUAUUGUGUAGGAAGUUACAUGCUCGUUAUUGUGUAGGAAGUUACAUGCUCGUUAUUGUGUAGGAAGUUACAUGCUCGUUAUUGUGUAGGAAGUUACAUGCUCGUUAUUGUGUACUAACACUAGAGUGUUAAGUGAAUGAAGCUUUGCGGCGUGUGGGGCUUUUCUUUAUUUUUGUACCG